GAAGUUGGCUUAGUGGUAGAGCACUUGCCUUGCAUGCAUGAGGCCCUGGGUUCAAUUCCUCAGCACCUUUA
rfam:Dipodomys ordii contig_18870, whole genome shotgun sequence.